GAAUUUGAGGGUGACCUGGUGGUGACAAGCCACCCCACUGAUCACCAGUCUUUUUUCAACUGAUCUCACUGGCUUGCUGGGUGUCCCCUUUUUCCUCCACAGUUCUGUGUCUGUCCUUCCUGAAGCAGAGUGCUCGGUCAAAAGGACACUUUUUUUAAAACGUUGAACAACUUUCUAUGUUGAUUUCUGUUUAGAUAAGUAUCCAAUUUCUAGUUUAUCUGAACCUCCUAGAAUU
rnacentral:sRNA from 1 species